rnacentral:rRNA from 1 species
UACGGAGGGUGCAAGCGUUGUCCGGAUUCAUUGGGUUUAAAGGGUGCGUAGGCGGGCAUAUAAGUCAGUGGUGAAAGACCGGAGCUCAACUCUGGAACUGCCAUUGAUACUGUAAGUCUUGAGAGCAGACGAGGUAGCUGGAAUGUGUAGUGUAGCGGUGAAAUGCAUAGAGAUUACACAGAACACCAAUUGCGAAGGCAGGUUACUAGUCUGUGUCUGACGCUGAGGCACGAAAGUGUGGGGAGCGAACAGG